rnacentral:rRNA from 1 species
GACGAACGCUGGCGGCGUGCUUAACACAUGCAAGUCGAACGGUGAACGCGGAUCUUGCUCCGGGGUGUUAGUGGCGCGCGGGUGUGAAACACGUGAGUAACCUCUCCCGGACAGUGGGAUAAGCGUUGGAAACAAGGUCUAAUAUCGGAUAGGAACAUGGAUAGCACGAUUUGUUAUGGAAAGUUUUUUCGGUGUGGGAUGGACGUGCGGCCCGUCAGCUUGUUGGUGAGGUAAUGGCUCACCAAGGCGUCGAUGGGUAGCCGGCCUGAGAGGGUGAGCGGCCAGGCUCGAACGGAGACGCGACCCAGCCGCAGGCGGGAGGCGGCACUGGAGGAUAGUAUACAAGGGACGAGAGCCUGAGGCAGAGACGGCGCUUGCGUGAUGACGAUCUUCGGGUUGUGAACCGAGUUGGGUAGGGAAGAAGGGCUACGAAUUGACGGUACCUACAGAAAAAGGGACGGCUAACUACGUG